rnacentral:rRNA from 1 species
GACAGAGGGUGCAAACGUUGUUCGGAUUUACUGGGCGUAAAGCGCACGUAGGCGGAUUUGUAAGUCAGGGGUGAAAUCCCGGGGCUCAACCUCGGAACUGCCUUUGAUACUGCAAAUCUCGAGUCCGGAAGAGGUGAGUGGAAUUCCUAGUGUAGAGGUGAAAUUCGUAGAUAUUCGCAAGAACACCAGUGGCGAAGGCGGCUCACUGGCCCGGUACUGACGCUGAGGUGCGAAAGCGUGGGGAGCAAACAGG